CCUACGGGAGACAGCAGUGAGGAAUAUUGGUCAAUGGACGAGAGUCUGAACCAGCCAAGUAGCGUGAAGGAUGACUGCCCUAUGGGUUGUAAACUUCUUUUAUAAAGGAAUAAAACGAGGCACGUGUGCCCUUUUGCAUGUACUUUAUGAAUAAGGAUCGGCUAACUCCGUGCCAGCAGCCGCGGUAAUACGGAGGAUCCGAGCGUUAUCCGGAUUUAUUGGGUUUAAAGGGAGCGUAGAUGGGUUGUUAAGUCAGUUGUGAAAGUUUGCGGCUCAACCGUAAAAUUGCAAUUGAUACUGGCAGUCUUGAGUACAGUUGAGGUAGGCGGAAUUCGUGGUGUAGCGGUGAAAUGCUUAGAUAUCACGAAGAACCCCGAUUGCGAAGGCAGCUUACUAAACUGUGACUGACAUUGAUGCUCGAAAGUGUGGGUAUCAAACAGGAUUAGAUACCCGUGUAGAC
rnacentral:rRNA from 1 species